rnacentral:rRNA from 1 species
AUUGAACGCUGGCGGCAUGCUUUACACAUGCAAGUCGAACGGCAGCGCGGGCUUCGGCCUGGCGGCGAGUGGCGAACGGGUGAGUAAUACAUCGGAACGUGCCCAGUAGUGGGGGAUAGCUCGGCGAAAGCCGGAUUAAUACCGCAUACGACCUGAGGCUGAAAGCGGGGGAUCUUCGGACCUCGCGCUAUUGGAGCGGCCGAUGGCAGAUUAGCUAGUUGGUGGGGUAAAGGCCUACCAAGGCGACGAUCUGUAGCUGGUCUGAGAGGACGACCAGCCGCACUGGGACUGAGACACGGCCCAGACUCCUACGGGAGGCAGCAGUGGGGAAUUUUGGACAAUGGGCGAAAGCCUGAUCCAGCAAUGCCGCGUGUGUGAUGAAGGCCUUCGGGUUGUAAAGCACUUUUGGCGGGAACGAAAAGGACUGUGCCAAUACCACGGUUCGAUGACGGUACCCGCAGAAUAAGCACCGGCUAACUACGUG